UAUAUUGAAAUAUUCCUUGUUAGUCAUAAAGCGAUUUUAGUAAUAAAAAUAAAGUGUUAGUUACUAGAAUAAAAAAAAAGCAACAAAGAUGUACCGAUAUUCUGUUCCUGUGAUUUUCAUUUGUCAUGCUUCUUAUAUUUUUUCAAGCGAAUAAUAAUACGAAACAAGUAGAACAACAAGAAAAUAAUAUUUCAAUUACACUAUAAGAUCGAACUAUCAAAUUCACUCAUUUCUCAGACAACUUUCUAAUAAUCACAAAGAUCGCGUUCUACGAAUGUAAAUAGACUGUAAAUUUUGAUUCGUUUACAGGAAAUUCGAAAAUGCAAAAUUUCAUAGAAUGCAGAAUGCACAUAAUAUGAAAAAAUAUGUAAAACAUUCAAAGUAUAGUGCUUUCUAUAACACUUGAUAGGUAAAUCAAUUUUCUACCAAGGUUCUACUUGCUCUUUUACGUUCUCAAAAAUAUGAAUUUGCAUGAAAAUCCGCAGUCUAAAUAUAAAUAAGCAAACUGACUAAUUAAACAGGUAAAGACGAGUCUGAUAAAACGGGGACAUUCCGUUGCAGCUAAUGCACGUUCCGUGGGUACCAGAGUGAAAAAAAUACGCGAUCGCAAGGUAGCGGAAGGAAGCAACCUAUUUUUGUGGCUGGAGAGCCCGUACGAUGGGACUCAGCGUGGGGUUCGUUUCUUUUUGGUCGGUGAUACUAGAUGCCCCGUCUAGGGGAGGUCUUUGACGAAGACGAAGGCGAACACGACGAUGGGUAAAGGAAGAUCGAGAAGAUGAAUAAGAGAAAAGAAGGAAAAAGGAUGGAUCGAGCGACGAAAUAAAGAGAAGGACGUCGUCUGGGUGUUGGAUUACUCAAGGCCUACGGGCAGUGGUUCCUUGAAACGUGCAAUCGAGGCCCGCGGGUUUCGACAGUCUUCUUCCUGGGAAUUUGGUUGCCAAUUGCACGACGAUGAGUCUUUUUUUAGGAUAAGGACUUGGAGAGCUACGAGGAAGGAUACUGGUGUGAGUAGAUGUUUAUACGGUCGAUGGCUCGAAUUCGUUGUUUUCGUUGUCACGUUAUUUCUUAUUGCAUAUAUCCAUCGCUAAAUUAUUCUCAUCGAAUGGCACAACAACUAAAAUGCAACAAUUACGACAGCAGAAUUGCUUAACCUUACUGUGGCUCGAUAUAACUCAAUUUAACCCGAAAACGUAGAUAUAUAAUUGAAUAAGCAUCAUUGGAAUAUAGUUAACGAUACCAAAGAUAGUGUUUCGAUAUUUCAUUCCGGUAUGAAAUAUAUUUAUCUGUGUUUUAGUAGCUUUUAUGUAUUUUACGCUUUUCAUAGAUAGAAUAUUUUAAAAUUUGCGAAGAGGAUAUCCGGAAGGUAUGCAAACGUCGAUAAGAAACGUAAAAUAAGAGCAGAAUUAAAUAAUUAAAUCUACACAACGUCUCACGACUUGUCUAUUCGAAACACUCUGAGAAGACUUACGAGUAAACGGCGUUAAGAGCCUCUGUAACCGCUCGAUACCGGUACCGUUUCGAGUCACGAAUCGAGAAACGGAGAUCGAUAGCCGGGAUACUCGCCAAUAUUCCUGGUGCCGAUAAUCUUCGCGCAAUUUCGCGGAGCCGUGAAGCCCGGGGCGAUCGGUUCGCGGCGGCGAAAACAGAAAGAGCGAGCGGAUCCGCGGUGCAGGAUCACGGAAUGGUUAAGAAGCGUUCUCGUAGUCUUGGCUCUGAGAUCCAGCCACCCUGUCAUUUACAUAUUCAUACCCUAUCGGUUGAUCUCGAUCAACGAUGCCUGAUAAAACAGUUUAAGCGCUAAUGCAGCCGCCGCGGUGCCCAGUUCCAGGCUUUUUCUCGUCGCGAUAAUCUCCGUUUCGUCGGGAUUUUCAAUCGACUGCCAUCGCUUUCCUCUGGCCUGGAACCACGGGAAAUUACCAAUGAAUAGUGGCAGCUUUGGAGAAUGGUGAAAGGAAACGCGGCCAAGUGUCGCAGUGUGUUCUUCGAUGCUUCGAGGGAUAGGAUGUUUACCCACGUGCGCCAACGACUACACCGGGCUGGGAGUUAAGAUAAUGUUUGCUCGAACCAGGAAUCGACUAUAGGUUACCAUCGACUACCGUGCAGACGCUUUUUUUUUAGCUGACGUUACCGUGCAAGAAUCGUUCGAAGCUGUUCGCUGUAGUUCCGCAAAACUCCAUCUACCCGUCCAUCGAUCUGAAUAUUUCCAUCGGCCAGGAUUUUACGCAGGAUCGUUUCAUCGAUCGACGAUUCCCUUCCCAUUUAUACACGUGCUUCCCCGUUUAUCGUCCCGAUAAGAGUAUCCCGAGGAGAGAUAGUGUCUACCAGAACAAGAAGCAUUCCGUUGGUUCGAGGAGAAGCCUGGAAUUCCUGGUCCGUAUCCAUUUCAAAGGACAAUGAUCCGGCAGUGCCUUUGUGCGAUCCGCAAUGGAGUGGUUGGACUGUCGUUGAUUACUGGCGAAGGAGCAGCGCUAUGGGUGAAAAGCUAUGACAAGGGUUGCACGAGUGAAAAGAGAGAAACGAGAGGGGCUGGAUGAAAGUUUGGAAGAGAGGAGAGUAGAGGAGGAGGGAUGGUUGCUAUCAAUCACACAGGCUGGAUGAAAGCCACGCGGUCGGCUCUGUGUCACGCCAUUGUGAAAUACCAGCCGAAAUUCGAGCGCGAAUCGUCCGAAAUUUUGGAAUUUUAAUUCAACGGCUAGAAAAUCGCUGGCUAUUCGACGGAUCGACCGGUAUUGUCUGCUGUCCGCGACACGUACGGAUGCCUGGAAAUGAUUAUUUGCUGGCUGUAUGGUGUUUCGAUGAGAUAUGGCUGAAUGGAAAUUUCGGGGGCGAGCCAUAGGUACGGAUUGAUUGGUGGUAAAUAUUCGCGGAAAGAUUUGUGGUACUAUUCGUAUUAAAAUCUUGUAAGUUGAACAUGGGAAUUGUUUCGUUAUGUUUUUACGAUGCUUGAUAGCCGCGUUAAAGGUUUUUCGUUUUUUUUUUUAUCGGUAAUGUACCAGUAUAUUUAACAACGUGAACAUAGUAAGAUUUUGUUCUUACUAUGAUUUGGUCAAAUUCUUAUGUCUCUUCUUUUAGAAACAUCGAAUCCCGUAGUUGGUUUUAUUCGUUCAAUUGGGGUUUUCCUUUAUUAGCGAGAUUAGCGUUUGAUCAACAUUGUUAACAUUUUUUGAUAUUCUUCUAUCUCUUUUAAUAUAUUUUACGCUCGUUAAAGUUUAUUAUAUCUUCUAUAUCUCUUCACGUUUGUUGCGCUUCUUCAAUUUUUCAAACCAAUGAUAAGACGGGACAGAUGCAGAAGAAGUAAACAAAAUAUUUCAAUCGCGCAAUAAAGUUUGCUUCGAUGUUCUUUUGAAAGAUCCAGUUCGCUCGUUUGUCAGACAAUUUUUCGGCAACUAGAAAACCACAUUCCACAGGUACAAAUAGAAGAACUGACUAAUUAAAUCGGGAAAAAGUAUAAAACGAAGGCGCUUCGUGGUACCCGGCGUUUAAUUUGCGUUACAAUCCGGGAUUACUGUCAACAGCUUUUAUUAUACGUUCUGGUCGUAGCAUUUCGCGAAUCGCCUGGUAUUUUCUGCCCUAAACGACAACACGUUUCCUCCUCGAACGACAUUCCGUCUUUUUAUCGUUCCCUUUAUCGCAUUCCCUUUAUAUCGAAUUCAUGACCAAGAGAUGCAUCGGAUAGGAUGUUCCAUGGCGUGUCCAGCUUGAUGCCUCCAACGGGCAUCAUCCGUAUUUUUAUCAGUGUCUCCCGCAGGAUGAUGACACGACGUCGCCUCGUGAAAUGACAGCAAUUAAAAUUCCAUCGUUCGCGGACCUCGAAAAUCGUCUUGUAAACGAGUAUCGUUCGAUCGAUGCUUGUCGUCGAUGUAAUCUUUUCAUUAAUGUACAUUUUUAAGCAAAUUGGUCCAAUAACGAAGAGACGGAACUCGAUGAUCUAUACUCUGUACCUGUUAAGUAGACGACGCUCGAACUAGUAAUAGGAUCGUUAAAGAACGAUCUAGUAAUAAGAUCUACGGUAGUUUGGUCCUUUGCAAGACGACCAUACACUCUACACCUCCUUCUUUAUCCUUUCGUUCACGCUGCAUAUUUCUUCCUUCUUUUGUUAAGUAAUUCUUCCUUUUUCGCGGCUCGUUAUAACUUUUUUGAAAUUUCAUCAGCACCUAGUCACGAAGGAAUCUAAUACCAGGUCCUAGAUUUUCAUGAAGGCGUCGUGUUCACGUAACACGUGCAGCCGAAUAUUAUUUUACCUGGACGUAGGAGGGGGGAAACGAAUUAGAUGUCCUGGGGCGAGCAGCGGUCGGUUUCUGGUUACACAUGGACCUCCUAAGGCUGUCCGGGUUAAUAAAACAUUGGUACCAACGACAGUAGUCCCUUUAUUACGAGCGUGUCGCAUGAUUUUCGACGGUUUCGCCAGUCUGCCAAGAAAUACGCUCCGAUCAGUAUCGUGCUGUGUCAACGGGAUAUUUUGACUGGUAAAAAAGCAACGUGCUUUCAAAGGGUUAAAAGAUUCUUGUUUAACCACCUGGACUAGCCAGGAUUCUAUUUUCAGAUCGGGAGUCUUUGAUUAUUGUAUUUAAUUUAGUUGACGAAGUGAAUUUUUGAGAGAUCGUGGAAUUUUGUGUGAAUACUGCGCGUAUUCUCUUUUAUGUAAAAUAUCAGCGACGACUAAGAGCUCGUAGAAUUAUAUCGUUAAAAACAGAAAUAUAUGAAUUGCUGUUAAUUUAGAAUGUUACAAUUUACAUUCAUGCGUUAAAAAAUAUAUUUUUCGAUCUUGUAGUUACGAGAGAAUUCUUCCUAACUUUAGAUAUUUUCGAUUAAUUUUGUCAAUAGAAUUAACUUUUUGUAGUAUCAGAAGGACUAAAUAAAAACUGAGUGUAAAAAAGUUUAUUACCGAUCGGGACACCACCAAACUACGAUCGCUAAUAACAGGGUAUAAAAGAUCCAAGAUAAAUGGCCCAAUCACACCGAUUAUUUUGGCAAAAAAUUUUAUCAACAACAUCAAUUUUGCGCACAUCUAUGCUACUGCCUCAAAAUUGAGUAUAAAAGUAAUUUAUUACAGAUUGGAACUUCGCCUUUAAUUACAUUGUGACCACAGUGUACAGGAAACACAAAUGACUUUAUAAAACCAAUUAUUUUUGUAAAAAAAUUUCUGAAAACAAUAUAUUUCUCCUCCAUUUAUAUUCAUUAAUAGCAACAAAAUUGAUAGGAUCGUGAUAAAGAAAAUCGGGUAACGUUGAUCGUGGCCACUGUGAUAUAAUACGAUGUUAUAAAUUUAAUACACAUUUUUGACCUACCUGCUCAUUUACAUACGAAUAGAUCGCGAUCAAAGAUCAUUAAGACGAAACAACCGCUCGAUGUUGCUCAGAGCGAAAGAUAAGGGAGGCAAGAUGGUGCGAAGGUUUCGAGCAAAAAUCGAGAACGAUUUAUACCGACUCACGGUAGUCGAUCGAUCGAUAAUCCAGCAUCGAUCGAACCCUUUUCACGAGCCAGACUUGGAAUAAUUGAGCUGUAUGCCCGAAUAACCGAAUUAACGAUAUACCUGUCCCUUUAUCUGAAAUGAAUCAACGAAGAGAAGAAAGAGUAUUCUCGUCGCGUCAUCGAACGCGUCAUCAAUUAUAUCGUCAGCAACGCCCUUCGUGAUGAGAAUGUGCAAACACAUAUAUGAAUAUUUUCAUAUAUCCUUUAGAAUUUCCAUUA